GUCUAUGGCCACGUCACCCUGAACAAACCCGAUGUCUGAUCUCGUAAGCUAAGGAAGCUAAGCAGGGUCGGGCCUGGUUAGCACUUGGACAGGAGACCACCUAGGAAGACCAGGUGCUAUAGGCA
rnacentral:rRNA from 1 species